AUACUACUCCCUCCGUUCGGAAUUACUUGUCGCAGAAAUGGAUGUAUCUAGACGUAUUUUAGUUCUAGAUACAUUCAUUUUCGCGACAAGUAAUUCCGAACGGAGGGAGUACUAC
rnacentral:pre_miRNA from 1 species